GCCCCCUCCACCAUGGUGUCAAUGGACUUCCACUGCCACCUGGGAAUAAGAAGGCACCCUUCUCCUCCUCCAUUGUGGUGUCAGAGGAGGCCUGGCAGUGAGUCAGGACCUUCACAUUGCCCAGUGGUAACAAAGCCAACUCCACCACAGCAUCAGUGAAGGCCACAGGGGGAGCUGGAACGCUUGCUACUGCCCAGCAGUAACUAUAAGCACUUGUGGGUGAUUUGAUUUAAUUUACAGACACCAAAAAACUGGAAACAACCCAAAUAUCCUUCAGUUUGUGACUGGAUAAUCAAACCAUGUUCCAUCCAUACAAUGGGAUACUACGCAGCAAUAAAAAGAAACAAACUCCUGAUACAACAAUGUGGAUGUAUCUCAAAGGCAUUAUGGUUACUGAAGAAGAAUCUUCUCCUAAUGCUCACUAGCAACUUUGGACUGAGAAUAGAUAAGAUACUAUUUAUAAUCGUAUUACGAUUUUUUUUAAAGGUUACCUGUCAAAAUGAAUGACCAAACAAGAAAAUGGAAGGAAGGUAGUGGAAGAAAGAAGAAAAAAAAAGAAAAACAAAAUCCCAAGGCAAUGUUUUUCUUACCCACUGUUACCCACAGUAAGCUGUGUAUUUCAGGCUGUGCCAGAGGCACCCACAUGCGUUUAUCUAAAACAAACGUUUCACAAAGCAAAAGUUAUCCUUACAAAGUGAGGUGCACUUUUCUAUUUUCUAUUCUAUUCUAUUCUUUUUGAUUGUGCCUUUGACACACUAGUUAAUUUUAUGAACCACUGAGGGAUGUCACCAGUGGUUUGAAAAAUGCUACCUUAAUGGGAUGCAAAAGCUAAAAAGAGGUAGUUUGGUCUAGAAUACGAUAUGUACUGACUGACCUCAAAAGACUUUGUGAAGUGACAGGUGCAAGAGGUUAACAAUCUGAACAAAGUGAUUCCAUUUCAACAAAGUAUGUGAGUACACAUAUAUACAUAUUUAUUUAAAGAGUUUCAGGAGGAUGCUGGGCUGGACUGUGCUUUCUUUUCCAAUCCAGGUUAGAGUUGGCCAAAAGAGAACUUGUAUAAGAUUUGGAAGUCAGAAGUAAAACAGCAGCUAUUACUCUCAGAAGGUCACCAUAGUCACAUAUGGUGAUGGACACUGGAUCAAAGCUCCCUAUCCAUCUGGUCUUUCUAAUCUUUGGCCCUGAUGUCCAGUAGCAGCCUGGGGCUCCUCAGAAAAUGCUUGGCUGUGGAUCUACAGAGAGGAAGUUAUGCAGAGGGAAUAGCUUCCACUAGCUCCUGCUCCAGAGCCCACAUUGCUGGUUGGACACACACGGCUUCCCAGCUUUUCCUGCAAGCUCCCGGACUUGACUCCCUUCCAGACUUUCACUUCCCCACCUCCAGCAGUUUUGUAAGGUUUAAUUCCUACAGUGAAUGGCUUCUUUCCAUCAUCUUCACCAUGGUUCUUCUUCCCUGACUGAACCCUAAAUGGAAAAGGCUUGCUGCAAAGAAUCAAGAAUCAUCCUUCCCUCAUAUGACUUAAAUAAGACGCGCAGAUGAUCCCCUUGGUUACUUAGGACAAAGACAGACACAGACCCGUCCCCACCCCCCACCAAAUUCCUAUUUGUCAUAAAAGAGCACAGAACUUUGGCCGCAGAGGUUAAGCAAGCAUUAGAAGGUGGAAUGAGUCCUCCUUAACAACCCCUCUGGAUCACUGACCUCGAAGAAAGACAUUUCCUGUUCAACUGGCUGAUCAUGCCACCUGCUCAUCCCACUCCUCACUUCUGG
ensembl:lncRNA